AGAGUUUGAUCCUGGCUCAGGAUGAACGCUGGCGGCGUGCUUAACACAUGCAAGUCGAACGAUGAAGCCCUGCUUGCAGGGUGGAUUAGUGGCGAACGGGUGAGUAACACGUGAGUAACCUGCCCCUGACUCUGGGAUAAGCCCGGGAAACUGGGUCUAAUACCGGAUAUGACUUCCUACUGCAUGGUGGGUUGUUGAAAGAUUUAUCGGUGGGGGAUGGACUCGCGGCCUAUCAGCUUGUUGGUGAGGUAAUGGCUCACCAAGGCGACGACGGGUAGCCGGCCUGAGAGGGUGACCGGCCACACUGGGACUGAGACACGGCCCAGACUCCUACGGGAGGCAGCAGUGGGGAAUAUUGCACAAUGGGCGGAAGCCUGAUGCAGCGACGCCGCGUGAGGGAUGACGGCCUUCGGGUUGUAAACCUCUUUCAGUAGGGAAGAAGCGAAAGUGACGGUACCUGCAGAAGAAGCGCCGGCUAACUACGUGCCAGCCGCCGCGGUAAUAC
rnacentral:rRNA from 1 species